rnacentral:rRNA from 1 species
CACGUAGGGCGCAAGCGUUGUCCGGAAUUACUGGGCGUAAAGCGCGCGUAGGCGGCUUUGCAAGUCGGGUGUGAAAUCCCCAGGCUUAACCUGGGAACUGCAUUCGAGACUGCAUUGCUAGAGUAUGGGAGAGGGAAGUGGAAUUUCCGGUGUAGCGGUGAAAUGCGUAGAUAUCGGAAGGAACAUCAGUGGCGAAGGCGGGUCGUCUGGGCCGGUACUGACGCUGAGACGCGAAAGCGUGGGGAGCGAA